AUGGCGUCAUGGGCUUUCCGUUUAUUGUAUGUUACUGGUCUUGGAAUCGUGCAAACAUCCGGCCUGGAAAGUGAAAACAGAAAUACUCUCCCCCUAACCCUAAUACGGCUUAAAAUAACCCACGAAGAUCGUCUCUCAUCUUCAUGCGGCCGCGGUGACGUUUGCGCUUACUGUAACAGACUUCUUUAUGGAUUCCUCUUUAAUCCUGUUGAUUUAUUCUCCCAUGAUGUGUCUUCGAUGCGUUGAUUAGGUCUGAAAGGCGGUGUGUUUUCAGCAUAAAUAUGUGAGCAAUCCUCAUCUGGGACUCAUCAUCUCUUUCAAUUCUCUGAAAGUAUCUCAGGUUAAGCGAGGCGGCGAGGGUCGACACACUCCUCAUGUACGCCAAGGGUUGACAUCGCCAUUAACGAUCGUCUAACUCUUCGACCCACUCCAGCCACGAUUCCCCAUUCAAUGCGUUGUCCCUUUCUACAAGGCGGUAGAUCUCCAGCUAUAAGAAGAUAUGUGUUGUUGAUGAGACCGACCGACGAAGCUGUUUUGAUUACCAGUAUCCAGUUUCAAAGGUCUCGGUUACACUAGAACAAGAAGUUCUCACAACGCUUACACAAAUACAUCGAUUUGUGAGAAUAAUCUUACGUCCCAAGUUUUUCAAAACUAUAAACUGAUUCUUCCAAUGGCGUUCCCACGAGAACAAGCCAAGAAAGAUGACGCUGUUAGUUAAAUACUUGGCAAGUUUCUAUCGAAUUUUCUUAUUCAUUUUUUGUUUAAUUCGUGAGUUGUUUUAAAUUCAAUUUUCUUACUUUAUUUUGAUUGCGUAGAUUGUAAAUUAAAAAACAAGCAAGAUAGGAUACUCGGGGAGGUCAGGAAUGAGAAAGUUGAGCAAUGAUUAAGAGAUGGAUGAGAUUGGGAUUGGGGUUUCAGGGUUGAAUUAUGAGUCUGAUGAGUUGAACAAGAGCAGUAAGACUACUAAGAGUGUUCAAAAUGGAGGAGGUAAUGUAAGAAGAGAAUGCCUGCUAAGAAUCUGAUGGCUGAGAAGAGGAGGAGGUGGGUGAUAGGCUUUAUAUGCUUAGAUCAGUUGGCCCCAAGAUCAGCAAAAUAACAAUUACUUCUCUCUGAUCUCCUCAAGGGCUUCGUCUUCAUCAUUUACUUAUCACCGUUAGAGUUCGAUAGAUUCUGUGUUGUGUUUGUUGCGAUGGAAUUUCAUUAACAACCACAUACAUUAUGCAUUAAACCUCAGACUUCGGUUCGUGUCAAUUUCAAAGAUACCACAUGCAGCUGUUUAUUAGCUUUCCAAAAAAAUUUAUUCACAGACCCAUCAAUAGUGUCCAAAAUAGUAGAUUCAGUGAUCCAUUCCAGUUACGCAACUUGAUAUAUAACAAACUCACUCAGUUGACAAAAAAAUAACAAACACUCACGUGGAUAGCUCACCGAACCUCCCGUACUGCAUAGAUUAAGUUUGGCUGAUUUUCCACAGGAAUUUGAUGCCCAAAAUAACAAGUCCCACAUCAUAAAGGAUAUCAAUUAAUAAAUCAAAACUAAUCCCUUUCUAGAGUUGGAGACUUGGAGGCACGCUUAAAUUAUUGAUCCAGAAUAUAAAACCAAAUACCCAAACACCAUAAGAUGCUACCUUAAAUAACUGGAUAUUGAUAGUAAAACAGAGGCACGCUCACAGAAGGUACGAAAAUAGUAACCCACCAUAAUCUACAAAGUUAGUUAUAUUAAAGAAAUAUGGCAAAGCUGAAUCAAAUGGAUAUACAAAAAAAAAGAUGACAAAAAAAUAACCAUAUAAAUUUGCAAAACCUUCGACAUUGUAUAUGUAAAUAAAAAGAUUAGUCUUUUUAAUAUAUAUAUAUAUAUAUA